UCGAGCGGUAGCACAGGAGAGCUUGCUCUCUGGGUGACGAGCGGCGGACGGGUGAGUAAUGUCUGGGAAACUGCCUGAUGGAGGGGGAUAACUACUGGAAACGGUAGCUAAUACCGCAUAACGUCUUCGGACCAAAGUGGGGGACCUUCGGGCCUCACGCCAUCAGAUGUGCCCAGAUGGGAUUAGCUAGUAGGUGGGGUAAUGGCUCACCUAGGCGACGAUCCCUAGCUGGUCUGAGAGGAUGACCAGCCACACUGGAACUGAGACACGGUCCAGACUCCUACGGGAGGCAGCAGUGGGGAAUAUUGCACAAUGGGCGCAAGCCUGAUGCAGCCAUGCCGCGUGUGUGAAGAAGGCCUUCGGGUUGUAAAGCACUUUCAGCGAGGAGGAAGGGUGGUGUGUUAAUAGCGCAUCACAUUGACGUUACUCGCAGAAGAAGCACCGGCUAACUCCGUGCCAGCAGCCGCGGUAAUACGGAGGGUGCAAGCGUUAAUCGGAAUUACUGGGCGUAAAGCGCACGCAGGCGGUUUGUUAAGUCAGAUGUGAAAUCCCCGCGCUUAACGUGGGAACUGCAUUUGAAACUGGCAAGCUAGAGUCUUGUAGAGGGGGGUAGAAUUCCAGGUGUAGCGGUGAAAUGCGUAGAGAUCUGGAGGAAUACCGGUGGCGAA
rnacentral:rRNA from 1 species